rnacentral:lncRNA from 1 species
GGGCGGGAGGGCGGUGGACUCCCAAGCCCGGGGCGGGUCCCGGCAGGUCAAAAUCCCUCUUGUAGAUGAGGACACCCAAGGCCUCCACCUAUGUGGGCCUGGGGGCUGCGAGUGGAAUGUGGGAACAGACGGGCACCACCUUGCCUUGGCCCAGGGAGAAGGCCCCUUGCUGUGCCCACCUCGAGACCUGUGAGACCAGUGGCUCACCUAUAUCCUGUGUCUUGACAGCUGUUGCCACUGCAACCUAA